GAUAUGUUCUAAUUCUCCUUGGUGACGUGGCAUGUUCUUAGUAUAAUAGAGGUGUGCCACGUGGCGUGUAUUCUUGAUUAGAAACGCCUUUUAAUAUAUACUACCUCUCUUUUUCUUCUUUAAACCUUAAUAAUGUAUUCUUUUCUUUUUUUCUUCAAUAAUUUUAUUUAAAAAAUAAUCAUCCCAAAAAAUCACAACGGAAAUUCCGUCGAAUCGUCAAUCUGUAAAACGCAGUCGUCUUUCUCUUCCUCCCCAAUUCAUCAAUGGCUUUUACUUACGAUCCCUUCAAACAGGAGCCAAUUAAGCAGCAACAACAAAAGAAAAAAGGGCCCAAUUUCUUACUCAUGCUCCCUCUUAUCUACGCUCCUGUUCUUCCUCUCAUUAGAAUAUCAUUGAGGCAUAAACCUGUUAUUAGGGAUCGACUCCGCCGCAACCACCUCCGUCUUAUCCACUGUUGGCGCCACCUCUGGACCCACUUCUCUUCCCCACCACAGUACAAAUGUCGUCGACCUUCAUUUGACAAUUUCCAGCAUUUCCAAAACCACCAUUAAUCUCAUAAUUUCCCAGAGUUCUUCCCCCAAAAUUCAUAAUACGACUUUUUUCCCCAAAUUUUGUCCAAUUUAGACUACUUCUCCGAAAUUCCAAUUAUUUUGUCCAAAAAAAAAAAAAACCGGCCAUUUUUCCAAACAUUUUGACAUUUUCAUCCCCAAAAAUCCAACUACAUUACUCCCAAAAAUUCAACAUUGGCUGCUUUUUUUUAAAAAAAAAAAUCGUCUUUGGUGUUGCUACCGUAGAGCAACGAAAUUCAGAAAAGUGAAUUUUUUUUAGAGAUUUAAUCAUCUAUGUUUCUUGAGAUUUAAUCUAAUUUUUUGUUGUAAAAAAAUUAAUUUUGGCUAAAGAUUUGAAGAGAAAAGAAGAAGAAAUUAGGGUUUA